CGUAUUUUGAAGACAGCCAUUCCACUCUCCAGCUGUACAGCAUCUACAAAUCGCCCAGUCACUCCUACCUGCAGAUUAAAACACCUGAACCCACACAGGUUGGUUCCCCCUUGGAGCUUCACGUCGACAGCAACUUUCCAAUGUCUGAGGUUCACUACGUAGUGAUGUCCAGAGGUCAGGUGGUUUCUGCUGGGAAAAGCUCUGGUGUUGUAGUUCUGUUCCCAGAAAGCACCUGGGCUCCUGUGGCCUGCAUCAUCGUUUACUGCGUGCAUCCCAGCGGAGAGAUCGUUAACAAUGUCAUGGAUUUACCCAUCACACAAACUCUACAAAAC